rnacentral:tRNA from 1 species
UAUUUAUUAAUGUAAGAUGCAUUUAGAUUUUUGAAUUCUAUAGGAAUAGUUUAAUUCUAUUAUAAAUAU